AUUGAACGCUGGCGGCAGGCCUAACACAUGCAAGUCGAGCGAGCGGCGGACGGGUGAGUAAUGUCUGGGAAACUGCCUGAUGGAGGGGGAUAACUACUGGAAACGGUAGCUAAUACCGCAUACCAUCCGAUGUCCCCAGCUGGGAUUAGCUAGUAGGUGGGGUAACGGCUCACCUAGGCGACGAGCCCUAGCUGGUCUGAGAGGAUGACCAGCCACACUGGAACUGUGACACGUUCCAGACUCCUACGGGAGGCAGCAGGUGGGAAUAGUGCACAAUGGGCGCAAGCCUGAUGAAGCCAUGCCGCGUGUGUGAAGAAGGCCUUCGGGUUGUAAAGCACUUUCAGCGGGGAGGCGUUACCCGCAGAAGAAGCACCGGCUAACUCCGUGCCAGCAGCCGCGGUAAUUC
rnacentral:rRNA from 1 species